UGAUGCUAUCUGGUCUGUUAAUAAUAAAACCUUUAUUUGGAUUUUUUUUCAAUUAAAUUAUAGGAAACUAGACAUAGGAUUUCGUUGCGAAGCUAUUAAAUUUCCAAACACAGGAGUGUGCAGCACUGGAAAAGGAGGGAACAAUGCCAAGUCUUUGACGGAGCAUUUUUCUCCAAGACAACAGAAGAAAUACCUGAAGACCAUGAAGCAUCUGCUGAGUCCUUUUGUUCCAUCUUCUUUCUUCCUGAUCUUGAUCACCCCCUGAAGCAUCUUCAUCCUGAAUGAAAAUGACCCGCAAAAAGCUGAUAAAACAAGUCCAAUGCAAAAUGAAGUAUUUCUACAUUUCCUGAAGUUCUAAAUUACCUUGAGACUGUAUAUUUUGGACUAAUAAAAAACUGACUUAAUGCUGCUGAGAAAUCACUUAGCAUCUACAGUAUAAACUCUGAAGUGUUUGUCUUCCUUAAAUUACAAAGGAAAGUCCUCUGUAUAUGUGCAAGCAAACAUUUGGCUGAAAGUAUACUUCUAUAUUGCUCUGUAAGGAUGCUAUCUACACACACUGUGCGGGGUCUGUGGACUGCUGCUGAUCACAGAGCUUUUGGUUACUGGCCCCUGUUAAAGAACUUACGGAUAUAAUCAACUGUACUACUAAGUAUAUUGUUUAUUUCAACUCAAAAUAUGUACAUAAAUAUUGCAACAUGAUUUUCUAGAUGA